CAGCAGCCACGGUAAUACGAAGGGGGCUAGCGUUGUUCGGAAUUACUGGGCGUAAAGCGCACGUAGGCGGAUAUUUAAGUCAGGGGUGAAAUCCCGCAGCUCAACUGCGGAACUGCCUUUGAUACUGGGUAUCUUGAGUAUGGAAGAGGUUAGUGGAAUUGCGAGUGUAGAGGUGAAAUUCGUAGAUAUUCGCAGGAACACCAGUGGCGAAGGCGGCUAACUGGUCCAUAACUGACGCUGAGGUGCGAAAGCGUGGGGAGCAAACAGGAUUAGAUACCCCGGUAGUCCCUGUCUCUUAUAC
rnacentral:rRNA from 1 species